GUAGUUGUGGCCAAGUGAUUAAGGCGAUGAACUAGAAAUUCAUUGGGGUUUCCCCACGCAGGUUCAAAUCCUGCCGAUUAUG